rnacentral:rRNA from 1 species
UACUGAUUGAGAUUUUAACACGAAGUGAGUGGCGAACGGGUGAGUAACACGUGGGUAACCUGCCCAGAAGUAGGGGAUAACACCUGGAAACAAUGCUAAUACCGUAUAACAGAGAAAACCGCAUGGUUUUCUUUUAAAAGAUGGCUCUGCUAUCACUUCUGGAUGGACCCGCGGCGUAUUAGCUAUUGGUGAGGUAAAGGCUCACCAAGG